rnacentral:lncRNA from 1 species
GGAGUCCUUAGAAAGGGGGCUGGUGUCCGUACGGGUGGAGCGACCCCAUUACGCUAAAGAUGAAAGGCUGGGGUUGGCUGGCCCUGCUUCUGGGGGCCCUGCUGGGAACCGCCUGGGCUCGGAGGAGCCAGGAUCUCCACUGUGGAGCAUGCAGGGCUCUGGUGGAUGAACUAGAAUGGGAAAUUGCCCAGGUGGACCCCAAGAAGACCAUUCAGAUGGGAUCUUUCCGGAUCAAUCCAGAUGGCAGCCAGUCAGUGGUGGAGGUAACUGUUACUGUUCCCCCAAACAAAGUAGCUCACUCUGGCUUUGGAUGAAAUUCGACUGCUUAAAAAGGACCUUGGUUUAAUAGAAAUGAAGAAAACAGACUCAGAAAAAAGAUUUGGCUCUGUCUCAUUUGGAAGAAGCUGCAGGCUUAUUCCCCAUGCACUUGCUUCCUGGCUGCAAACCUUAAUACUUUGUUUCUGCUGUAGAAUUUGUUAGCAAACAGGGAGUCCUGAUCAGCACCCUUCUCCACAUCCACAUGACUGGUUUUUAAUGUAGCACUGUGGUAUACAUGCAAACAUCCGUUCAAAAUCUGAGUCGGAGCUAAAAAUAAAAAAUGAAAAAACAGAAAUAAGAAUAAAA